CAGUCGCCACGGGAAUACGUAGGUGGCAAGCGUUGUCCGGAAUUAUUGGGCGUAAAGGGCUCGCAGGCGGUUUCUUAAGUCUGAUGUGAAAGCCCCCGGCUCAACCGGGGAGGGUCAUUGGAAACUGGGAAACUUGAGUGCAGAAGAGGAGAGUGGAAUUCCACGUGUAGCGGAGAAAUGCGUAGAGAUGUGGAGGAACACCAGUGGCGAAGGCGACUCUCUGGUCUGUAACUGACGCCGAGGAGCGAAAGCGUGGGGAGCGAACAGGAUUAGAUACCCGGGUAGUCCCUGUCUCUUAUAC
rnacentral:rRNA from 1 species